GAGCAAUGAUGAAAAAGGCUUUAUAGUACUGAACUUUGUUUCUAUGAAGGUUUCUACACUUGACCUGAGCUCA
ensembl:snoRNA Scarna9 small nucleolar RNA U2-30